rnacentral:rRNA from 1 species
AAACCAACAGGGAUUGCCCUAGUAACGGCGAGUGAAGCGGCAACAGCUCAAAUUUGAAAUCUGGCUUCGGCCCGAGUUGUAAUUUGUAGAGGAUGCUUUUGGUGAGGUGCCUUCUGAGUUCCCUGGAACGGGACGCCAGAGAGGGUGAGAGCCCCGUAUAGUCGGCCACCGAUCCUCUGUAAAGCUCCUUCGACGAGUCGAGUAGUUUGGGAAUGCUGCUCAAAAUGGGAGGUAUAUCUCUUCUAAAGCUAAAUAUUGGCCAGAGACCGAUAGCGCACAAGUAGAGUGAUCGAAAGAUGAAAAGCACUUUGAAAAGAGGGUUAAAUAGCACGUGAAAUUGUUGAAAGGGAAGCGCUUGUGACCAGACUUGUGCCGGGCUGAUCAUCCAGUGUUCUCACUGGUGCACUCGACCCGGCUCAGGCCAGCGUCGGUUCUCGUAGGGGGAUAAAAGCUUCGGGAACGUGGCACCUUCGGGUGUGUUAUAGCCCGUUGCUUAAUACCCUUGUGGGGACCGAGGUUCGCGCUCUGCAAGGACGCUGGCAUAAUGGUCAUCAGCGAC